CGGACUGUAGAAUAAUGGUAGUUCGCACCCUUGGGGUGGGUGUGGCCCGGGUCCGAUUCCCGGCAGUCCGA
rnacentral:tRNA from 4 species